rnacentral:lncRNA from 1 species
UUGGUUUGUGUUCCUAUUUCAUUUUAUUUUACAUUUUCAAUUAAAUUUUUUCGCACAUGCAACCGAUUCAAAAAAACUUCGAUGAUUUGCCUGUGAAAUCUGGGGCAAAAUUCAAAAUCAUGAGUUAUAUAUUCGGAGUUAACUCCUUCAACUAGGGCAAAAUUCGCAAAACAUUUCUGUGAAUUGAAGACUCCAUCAAUUUUUGGGGCAAAAUUUAUAGAGACUGUGGUGGGUAUCGGCUCUUUGGACUCCCAGAAUCAAGAUUUCACCAGAACAAAUCCUUCGGGCCUGAAUGAAAGAAGAUGAAAUGGGCGAGGAGAAUCAUCCAAUCGACGAAUGCGACGACGAUGAUGGCAAUGGAUGACAUCGGCGAUAGGGUGGGUUGAAUUGGUUUGGUUUUAGGGCGUGGGUAGUGUGGGUGGAAUUGGUUUGCUGAGCUGGAUUGAGGAAUCUGAUUUGUCACAUUUUAAUUUGUUGUUCUUUUCCAUGUGUGUUUUCUGUCAAACACGUUAGCAUCAAUGGUAACGGAACUUAGUGAUGAACGGGAUGCAUAGUGUAAAAGUUUAGUGGCCAUUUGAAAGCAUGUUGAAAUUCAAUAAGUAAAUCAUGAUCAUGCCUAAAGUUCAGUGAUUAUUGAAACAUUUUAC